GAUGAACGCUGACAGAAUGCUUAACACAUGCAAGUCCACUUGAAUUUGGGUUUUUAACUUCGGUUUGGGUGGCGGACGGGUGAGUAACGCGUAAAGAACUUGCCUCACAGCUAGGGACAACAUUUGGAAACGAAUGCUAAUACCUAAUAUUAUGAUAAUAGGGCAUCCUAUAAUUAUGAAAGCUAUAAGCGCUGUGAGAGAGCUUUGCGUCCCAUUAGCUAGUUGGAGAGGUAACGGCUCACCAAGGCGAUGAUGGGUAGCCGGCCUGAGAGGGUGAUCGGCCACAAGGGGACUGAGACACGGCCAUUACUCCUACGGGAGGCAGCAGUGGGGAAUAUUGGACAAUGGACCGAGAGUCUGAUCCAGCAAUUCUGUGUGCACGAUGAAGUUUUUCGGAAUGUAAAGUGCUUUCAGUUGGGAAGAAACAAAUGACGGUACCAACAGAAGAAGUGACGGCUAAAUACGU
rnacentral:rRNA from 1 species